AAAAACUCUGUGGAAAAGGAAGGACACAGAAGUGGUAGUUGCAGUGAUACCAUCUGCCAACCAGGAAGGUUCCAGUUUUCUUGUGCACCACAGUGAACUCUGUUCACUGAGACCUCACCGAUGGCUGACAGGCGAGGUUAUGGAGAGUCUCUUCCAUCUGUAUGCCAAACAGCUCAACCUCGGAAAGGACUUAUUUUUACUGAACCAUUACACAGCUGGUGUGAUACUGUUUGGAAAAGGAGAAAGCGUUAGACAGCACAGUUUGCGGAGGACUGACUUCAACAACUAUGAAGCCAUACUUUCUUUUGUAAAUGUUGGUGGAGUACACUGGAAGUUACUGUAUGUACUUCCUGACAUAAGCACAGUAUAUCUGUUGGAUCCUGUGGCUAACAAAUCAGAGCAAGCUGAGUCUGCACAUGCUGCAAAAAGGUCAUCAUUUUUCUCAUCAAGGUUUAGUUUUCUUUUUCUCUCUGUCUUUGCCAGAAACAACCAGUAUACAUAGAACAACCAACAAAUCCCUGAGAAAUUUUGAAA